AUGAAUAAUUAAAUAAAAUCUUAAAAAAAAAUAAAGACUAUAUAUUUUUGAAAAUGUGUGAUUAAGGAACAUGUGUGCUGAUUUCUGGAAUAUACAUUGCCCCACUAUUAAAGGAAAUGUUUUGUUUGCUCUAACAUCUCCCCUUUUAUGCUUAUGAGGGGAACAGAAAUGUCAAAUGAAGUACUACAGGGAAAACUGUCCAUUCGGUUCAGGAGGAACUGAGGCAAAUGUACUCCGUCUUCCAGCUAAGAUGUCCACAAGCUCGCAUAGAGGAUCAAAGACAGGAGAUUCCUGUAACAGAGAGAAAAUGCAGACACAUGUUCCAGGUUAUCAAGAUUUUGCACCAACAAACCAAAAACAUGCAUCCAGCCUGGUGACUCAGUUGAUUGAUGCGUCUGCUCUAUGCCGAUCUAUUCCAAAUACCAUGAAGAAAUAAAAAGGAAAUUAAAAAGUAAAUAAAAAUUCUGACCAAAACA
rnacentral:lncRNA from 1 species